rnacentral:lncRNA from 1 species
UCUAGAGAUAUAACAACACAAGUGUACUACUGAUUGGGUUGGCCUCUGCUGCAACAGCGGCUCCCCUGUUGGAAAGAAGCCUAUGAUGCCAAAACUGAUGAUUAAUUAAGGUUCAUUAUGAUUCAACGUGGGCAGCAAUUCCAAAUUAUGGAGUACAAAGAAGAAAUUGAGAAAUGCGGAGAUGAGAAAUGGAACUAAUGUUACUGAGCAGGGAAGCUAACUCUCUCACUCCUUCCUGCUUUAUUUUUUUCACCAUAACGCUUAACCACCACCCGACACAGAAUGGACUUUGUUUUAAUAGUUCCCUCCAACCAGGAUAUGUG